AUAUUAAUGUCUAUUCAGGUAGAAUUAAAAUCAUUGUUUUACUUCUUAAAAUUCUAAGCUAAAACCUUGAAGUUACAUUUAUCUUAGCUUCCAAAUGAAAAAAAGUAAUCAUUUUCAAAUCUCUACAGCCCUCCAAAUGCAUUUUUCUAAGUUUCAUGCAAGUAAAGAAAAGUCCGCGAUGCCUUUGCCAGCACAGCACUUCCUUGGUGUCUGAUUCUGACAAGCACUCUGCCCUGCAAUAACACCCUCUGAUCCCGACUGUGAAGUCAGCUUGGCCAGCAAACCUUGAAGGUUGGCACAGUAGACUACCAAAGCUUCCGGUGACUUGUGUUCAUGCACUAGGACAAUAGAAUCAGACUGAUUUGCUUAGGCACGAAGGAAUGCACAUGUAAUUCAGGUUUUCAUCUGUGAUUGUCUCAAAGGUUGGAAAUCACAUUGGAAUUAUAGGAAACUAUCAAAAAUAGAAACAACCUAACUACAAACAUAAAA